CCCGAUGUUCUCGCGCCGCUCCCUGCAGGCGCACUACAAAAUUGGAUUUACCUGCACUUUAUUUACAUCCGUGAGGAGCUGUGGUUACGAGUGAGAAAUGUGCGGACGUUCGGUGCUUUGUCUUUGCUAAGGUACUACGAGGGAGAAAGUUGUUUGCUCCGUUCGGCCCUAGCCGAGCCCGCAGCACAUUAUCGACAGAAUGCGUGGCUGGCGCGGCGAAGAAGCCGUGGCGGAGGUGUCCAUGCCCCUGUAGGAAUCUACCGUUCAGUGGUGACUCUUUGGAGCUGGAUCCAGCCUUAAACACCGCCGUCCCAUGAGCCGCAAUGUUGGAACUGAAAAGAACACUCCAAUGCUGAUAUAUACACCUUAUUGUCAGUGCGUGAUUUGUGGUUAGCCAGCACUGCACUAAACAAUGAGUCCUAAUACGCAGCCUUUUGUAUUUUGUUUUUCUUUAUGCGCAAUAAAGGCUGUAUUGUAUUGUAUAGUAUAUUACGAGGCGAACAGGAGAGCAAAAGGUGAGAACGAGAUGAGGCAGUACUGCCUUCACCUGUUUAUUGAAAUCGUGUUUAUUGUUUGUGUACCGUCCGUGCACUCACUUUGUUAUUUCAAAGUUUUGUUCCCUUUGGUCUUUUAUAUUAUUUCGAAUCUGUAAAAUCUGGCCGAAUGCAUGUGUAUCAGAGUUUUUCUUCCAUAAGAUUGAAUCGUACAUUUCACUUCGAUAUAGCCGGCACACUUCCCAAACCACAGGAUACUACUCGUGUUUCAAUGCAAACGGGCACUGUGGAUUCACAUAUUUUUAUGAGACACCUAAUUCUUCCUUCUGCUCGCUCUUGUUACUAAUGCAUUCUCCAGCAGCUACUGUACUUGUUUCUCUGCACAUGUAUCCCGAUGCAAUGGCAAGAGCCAGAACAAUUCGUGUGAUGCUCGCCCUUCAGACAAAUGCUUGGUGCGACACACACUAGCGUGAGAAAAAAAAUCACAUCAUGGGAAUUGUUUCCUUUCAUGCCAUAUAGCACUGUGCCUGGCAGGCAUGAAAUAUUGCCACUGUAUAAAGGCACUAAGCCAAAGCAGUGAAGUUGGCAUGCGAGUUCUUUGUUUUAGUCGCUCCUGACAUCUAAAUUGAGCCUCCCCUUGUGCACCAAUAAAGGUGCAAGCACCGUCUCUGCGCCUACUAUCCACGUUCACAACGAAGGCGCGAAAUCCAACUGCAAGGCACCAAAUCGCCUACCAGCACCUGCUCAGUGCCUACUAUACCAACUGUGUCAUUCUGGGUGACAUAAAAUUUUUAGUAUUCUUCA